rnacentral:rRNA from 1 species
CCUACGGGCGGCAGCAGUGAGGAAUAUUGGUCAAUGGGCGCGAGCCUGAACCAGCCAAGUAGCGUGAAGGAUGACUGCCCUACGGGUUGUAAACUUCUUUUAUAAAGGAAUAAAGUGAGGCACGUGUGCCUUUUGUAUGUACUUUAUGAAUAAGGAUCGGCUAACUCCGUGCCAGCAGCCGCGGUAAUACGGGGGAUCCGAGCGUUAUCCGGGUUUUAUGGGUUUAAAGGGUGCGUAGAUGGGUUGUUAAGUUAGUUGUGAAAGUUUGCGGCUCAACCGUAAAAUUGCAAUUGAUACUGGGAGUCGUGAGUACAGUUGAAGUAGGCGGAAUUCGUGGUGUAGCGGUGAAAUGCAUAGAUAUCACGAAGAACUCCGAUUGCGAAGGCAGCUUACUAAACUGCCACUGACAUUGAUGCUCGAAAGUGUGGGUAUCAAACAGGAUUAGAUACCCUGGUAGUC